GACGAACGCUGGCGGCGUGCUUAACACAUGCAAGUCGAACGCUGAAGCACCAGCUUGCUGGUGUGGAUGAGUGGCGAACGGGUGAGUAAUACGUGAGUAACCUGCCCUUGACUCUGGGAUAAGCCCGGGAAACUGGGUCUAAUACUGGAUGCUACAUGUCACCGCAUGGUGGUGUGUGGAAAGGGUUUACUGGUCUUGGAUGGGCUCACGGCCUAUCAGCUUGUUGGUGAGGUAAUGGCUCACCAAGGCGACGACGGGUAGCCGGCCUGAGAGGGUGACCGGCCACACUGGGACUGAGACACGGCCCAGACUCCUACGGGAGGCAGCAGUGGGGAAUAUUGCACAAUGGGCGAAAGCCUGAUGCAGCGACGCCGCGUGAGGGAUGACGGCCUUCGGGUUGUAAACCUCUUUCAGCAGGGAAGAAGCUACAAGUGACGGUACCUGCAGAAGAAGCGCCGGCUAACUACGUG
rnacentral:rRNA from 1 species